CCACGAAUGAGAAGGCGACAGCUAAUGGACUUCUGGGAUUUCCAAUCCAUCAAUAUGACUAGCUUUAUUUUUGAAAAAGGGAGAAAAACAAAAAAAGAUAGGGUGGCUGGACCACCGAAUCUUUUAAAAGAUCUUCUCUCAACGGUACACUAAUGACUCUCUUUUCUUCCAACGGGAAGAUAGGAAAAUAGAUAAAAAAGAACAGUUCUCUCUCUAAGUAGAUACCACCAACGUCUCUCUGCUUUGAAGAUCCCUUCUCUCUCCAUUCACAAGAAGAACCAAAAAAACACACUCAAAGAAAACAAGCAAAGAAAAAGAGAGGACUACUAUUCCUCUUCUCCACUACACUCGACGCACCCCUCAACUCACACCAUUCACCAUCAAUAACCUAAACCUUCUUCCGCCAUCGUCUCCACCCCCUUCUCACGCGCAAUUCCAUCUUUUUCCUUCGAAACCUCUCAACAUUCCUCGUCGUCAUUCACCCGCCACCACUCAACCCUCCAUUACCGGCGAACCUUCUAACUCCGUCGAAUCUCCACACCACCGCGCACCACCGCCGCGCAUAAACCUAUCGCCGCUGCGAACCACCGACUACACGCCGUUAACGUCACCCUCAACACCCUUCCUUUCCCCUACCUCCACGAUCUAGUUUUCGACGCCGAUACAACCUUCCGCCGUCAACCACUCGACCAUUACCGGCGACGACAUCUCCAACAACAACAACGCUGCCGACGAAUUUCUUCAACGCCUUCCCCCUUCAGCUUCACCAUCGUGGGAUUUGGUCUGUGAUGUCAAGAUCUAGAUGAUUGUUGUUCAACUUCAUUUUUCGGCAUGGCGGUAAUUGGUCAGAGAACGUGUGCGCGGUAGCAGCAACGUACAGAUCAUGGCAUUUGGAUGAGAAGUUAGGCUCAUUUUUGGUGUACCAAUGUUUUAUUACUUAUACCCCCAUGCAUUACAAUUCAUGUGGCAAUGUAAAUACAUUACUAAGUUACUUUUGAUUUAUUUUCAUCAUAUCUUUAGUCGGAUUAAACCCGUGGAUUCGGCAAUUUCAUGUCGUUAUACCACAAGAGUUUCAAUAAAUUAAUAGAGCAUUUCACCGCGUUACGAUUCCGCGUAUGACACAAAUUAUAUUGUCAUUUCGCUCUAACCGGUUUGAGCACAUUGCGGUUCACUUA